rnacentral:rRNA from 1 species
AACGAACGUUGGCGGCAGGCUUAACACAUGCAAGUCGAACGCCCCGCAAGGGGAGUGGCAGACGGGUGAGUAACGCGUGGGAACAUACCCUUUCCUGCGGAAUAGCUCUGGGAAACUGGAAUUAAUACCGCAUACGCCCUACGGGGGAAAGAUUUAUCGGGGAAGGAUUGGCCCGCGUUGGAUUAGCUAGUUGGUGGGGUAAAGGCCUACCAAGGCGACGAUCCAUAGCUGGUCUGAGGGGAUGAUCAGCCACAUUGGGACUGAGACACGGCCCGAACUCCUACGGGAGGCAGCAGUGGGGAAUAUUGGACAAUGGGCGCAAGCCUGAUCCAGCCAUGCCGCGUGAGUGAUGAAGGCCUUAGGGUUGUAAAGCUCUUUCACCGAUGAAGAUAAUGACGGUAGUCGGAGAAGAAGCCCCGGCUAACUUCGUGCCAGCCGCCGCAGUAAUAC